rnacentral:rRNA from 1 species
UACAGAGGGUGCGAGCGUUAAUCGGAAUUACUGGGCGUAAAGCGUGCGUAGACGGUAGCGUAAGUCAGAUGUGAAAGCCCCGGGCUCAACCUGGGAACUGCAUUUGAGACUGCUCUGCUCGGGUGCGGAAGAGGGAAGCGGAAUUUCCGGUGUAGCGGUGAAAUGCGUAGAUAUCGGAAGGAACACCAGUGGCGAAGGCGGCUCUCUGGGACGGUACUGACGCUGAGACGCGAAAGCGUGGGGAGCGAACAGG